rnacentral:rRNA from 1 species
UACAGAGGUCGCAAGCGUUGUUCGGAUUCACUGGGCGUAAAGGGUGCGUAGGCGGUCGGGUAAGUCUGAUGUGAAAUCUCACAGCUUAACUGUGAAACUGCAUUGGAUACUAUCCGGCUCGAGGAAUGGAGGGGAGACUGGAAUACUUGGUGUAGCAGUGAAAUGCGUAGAUAUCGGGAGGAACACCUGUGGCGAAAGCGGCGCACUGGACCACAACUGACGCUGAGGCGCGAAAGCUAGGGGAGCAAACAGG